GCGUAGCUGGAGCGGCGGGUGCUGACGCGCCGUGAAGGCGGCCGGUAAGGAGCCGGAGCCGGCUGUCCCUCCUCCCGAGCCUGAUACCUCACCUGGAGAGAUGGCUCAUAUUUAGCUUAAAUCCAGUUACAAGCCUUCUGCUCAGCAAAUACUAACAGUGUUCCGCUUCAUAGUGCUGAAGUGAUGGUGGGACGAAGCUGCAUGUGGAGGAACCGAUAAGCCACCGUUGGCAGGACGCAGAGAAGACAGAGCCAGCAGGCGGAAGAAGGCCUGGGCCUCUGGGUUUCCCUCCUUCACCGUCUCCAGCAGGCUGUGAUCAUGGAAGACGAAC